rnacentral:rRNA from 1 species
GACGAACGCUGGCGGCGUGCUUAACACAUGCAAGUCACGGGGGCCCGCAAGGGCAACCGGCGAACGGGUGCGUAACACGUGAGCAACCUGCCUAUCUGCGGGGGGAGUAGCCGGCCCAACGGCCGGGUAAUACCGCAUACGUUCACGAGGGGACAUCCCCUUGUGAGGAAAACUCCGGUGCAGAUAGAGGGGCUCGCGGCCUAUCAGCUAGUUGGUGAGGUAACGGCUCACCAAGGCGACGACGGGGAGCUGGUCUGAGAGGAUGGCCAGCCACAUUGGGACUGCGACACGGCCCAGACUCCUACGGGAGGCAGCAGUGGGGAAUAUUGCGCAAUGGACGAAAGUCUGACGCAGCGACGCCG